CCAGCCCCGAGCAGAGCGGGACAAUCCCUCCCUUGCCGGGCUGGCCAUGCUGGGCCUGCUGCCCCCAGGACAGGGAUGUCCCUCCUGGCUGGGAACCUGAACUCCACAGCUCUUUCUGAGCUGCUGUAAUCCUCUGCUCAACCAUCCACUUGCUCUCUGCAAACCCAAGGAACGAACAUGACCACUGCCUGCAGACCCUCACCAUGGAUUUGGAAUCUGCUCUGUGCCAGCAGAAAGGCACUCCUGUGUCCCAGUGGGCACUGGGUGACUCUUUCCCCUGACAGAUUCCCCUGACAUUCUUCCUGCUGAAGAAGGCUUCUAGCAGCUUAUCAUCAGGGCAGGCUACAUUUCUUGGCUGGCUGGUGCAUAUUUGAACUUCAGUUCUCACUCUUGGGACCUGCAGCCACAGUUCUCUUCCAGCAGAAAUCCCAAGUCUAAAAGCAGCACAACAGAUGUGACCAUUUUGCAGUGAAUGAGCCCAGGUGUGACUAGAUUGUUCCAUUCAGGUGCAUUGGGAUCCACUGCUGGCUUUUAUUUUCAUUUUCACUGGAAGUCACGCAGCCAAACAGAUCUCUGCUGGCACCUAGAAUAUUCAUGUGGAGAGGAAGGAGGAUGGAAGAAAAGGAUGGGAAAAAUUAUGUAUGCACUGAGAAGUACCAACAGUGAUUUUGGAAUGUGAGGCAGAGAGAAACUCGAGCAGCAGUGUGUGCUGCUGUUCUCCUGGUCCCAUCCCUGUGGCACCUUCUGUCUCUUCCCUUUACUCCAUACAGAUGCACAGAUGUUGAAUAGUCCUGGAGAUAGGAUUGUGAUUUAAUGGAGUUUGCCACUACGGGCUCUGUAAAAGCAGAAAGGAAGAUUUUGAGACAUUGCAGACCAUCUUUUUUAAUUUCUGCUGUCUCCUGGCAGUGAAGCAAAGUAGAGUGCCAGUAAAUAACAAGGUUCUGCAGCAAUUUGUAUUUCAGUGACACAGAACUUUUCCUUCAAAGUUGCUUAAUAUGCCAUUUUCUUUCUCCUGCUUUUGCUGUGACAGUAUAUUGAAUUUCUCUUCCUCCCCACUUUCAAUUAAUGCAAGAUGAGCCUUUUUUCAAAGGCCUUGUGGGAGUCAGGCACCCAUCUUUCAUCAAUUUUCCAUCUGAGCUGGCACCAAAUUUACUUAGACAACUCUUGAAAUCUCACCCGUGGAGUUUGAUAGUUAACUAAAGAGUCCUUAUUGGAAACUAUGAUUAUU